rnacentral:rRNA from 1 species
CCUACGGGGGGCUGCAGUGAGGAAUAUUGGUCAAUGGGCGCGAGCCUGAACCAGCCAAGUCGCGUGAGGGAAGACGGUCCUAUGGAUUGUAAACCUCUUUUGUCGGGGAGCAAAAGACGCCACGUGUGGCGUUCCGAGAGUACCCGAAGAAAAAGCAUCGGCUAACUCCGUGCCAGCAGCCGCGGUAAUACGGAGGAUGCGAGCGUUAUCCGGAUUUAUUGGGUUUAAGGGGUGCGCAGGCGGAAGAUCAAGUCAGCGGGAAAAUUGAGAGGCUCAACCUCUUCGAGCCGUUGAAACUGGUUUUCUUGAGUGAGCGAGAAGUAUGCGGAAUGCGUGGUGUAGCGGUGAAAUGCAUAGAUAUCACGCAGAACUCCGAUUGCGAAGGCAGCAUACCGGCGCUCAACUGACGCUCAUGCACGAAAGUGUGGGUAUCGAACAGGAUUAGAUACCCCAGUAGUC